GGUAAAUUUUUCCCCUAAAGUCAUAUUCAAUUUCUUCCAAUCUUAUCUGACGAUUUUUUUUCAAAUUGCAAUAAUUUGGCACUGUUUCUUCCAAUCUUAUCAGAUGAUUCUAUUGAAAAAAAAAUAAGGGACCAUGUUGAAUUUUUCUCAAAAUUAUAAUCCAAAACCUAGUGUUUAUAUUGUCUUGUUCCUCGGUAUAUUGCCUUCAAAGCCCUCUCUGGGAGCUUUUUGUUUGCCCCAUAUUUAAUGAUGAGGUUUCAUCCACUAAUGUCACCAAGGAUCUUUAGCUCUAUGACACUUUGUAUUAAACCAAAUUAAUGUAUUGAAAGCAGUCAAAGAUUUAUUGAAUAUGUCAAGAAAAAUGCUCAAGUUUUUCAUUAACAUAUUCCACUGACAUAAAUUCUAUUUGAAUUGAGGUGUAUGACCUUCAUGUA